rnacentral:rRNA from 1 species
CAAUAGCGUAUAUUUAAGUUGUUGCAGUUAAAAAGCUCGUAGUUGGAUUUCGGGUGGGGACAGCCGGUCCGCCGUUAUGGUGUGCACUGAUUGGUCCCAUCUUCUUGCCGGGGACGCAGUUCUGGCCUUAAUUGGCUGGGGUGCGGAGUCGGCGAUGUUACUUUGAAAAAUUAGAGUGUUCAAAGCAAGCUCACGCUCUGAAUACAUUAGCAUGGAAUAACACGAUAGGACUCCGGUCCUAUUUUGUUGGUCUUCGGGAUCGGGGUAAUGAUUAAGAGGGACAGUUGGGGGCAUUCGUAUUUCAUUGUCAGAGGUGAAAUUCUUGGAUUUAUGAAAGACGAACUUCUGCGAAAGCAUUUGCCAAGGAUGUUUUCAUUAAUCAAGAACGAAAGUUGGGGGCUCGAAGACGAUUAGAUACCAU